CGGCGGGCGCGCGCAUCCCGGGCCCGGCCUGGCGGCGGAGUCGUGCUGCGGGGCGAGGCUGCGGGCGGCGGGGCUGGAGGAGAGGUCCGCGCCGCGCGCCGCUGCUAUCAUUGUGUCCCAGUGAGACUGUGGCGGCUGCCAGGAGGUUGGUUAUUCCACUUUGCCCUGCGUCUACUCCAUAGGUUGAUUAGCCUCUCAGAAAGACCAGAAAGUUGACAGCAAUAGGCGGAUCCGGUUGCUAGGUUUUGUCUCAAAUAAUAUUCGUUGUGAAUUUUUUUUUGUAAGUCUGAAAAAAAACCGUUCAUGAUUUUAGGCGUAAAAUGCAUAUCUCACAUACAUAAAUCUGCAUUCCGAUGUUUAAAUUGAGUCCGGUGCCUGUGCUCCUAAAAGUUGUUGGAACCACUAGAGCCACUGAAAUUCAGUUUUACU
rnacentral:lncRNA from 1 species